rnacentral:rRNA from 1 species
CCUACGGGAGGCAGCAGUAGGGAAUAUUGGUCAAUGGGGGAAACCCUGAACCAGCAACGCCGCGUGGGGGAUGAAGGUCUUCGGGUUGUAAACUCCUUUUGUUAGAGAAGAUAAUGACGGUAUCUAACCACUACUCACCGGCUCACUCCGUGCCAGCAGCCGCGGUCAUACGGCGGGUGCAAGCGUUACUCGGAAUCACUGGGCGUAAAGAGGGCGUAGGUGGGAUAGCAAGUCAGGUGUGAAAUCGUAUGGCUUAACCAUAGAACUGCAUUUGAAACUGGUAUUCUAGAGUGUGGGAGAGGUAGGUGGAAUUCUUGGUGUAGCGGUAAAAUGCGUAGAGAUCAAGAGGAAUACUCAUUGCGAAGGCGACCUGCUAGAACAUAACUGACGCUGAUGCGCGAAAGCGUGGGGAGCAAACAGGAUUAGAUACCCCGGUAGUC